rnacentral:rRNA from 1 species
AUUGAACGCUGGCGGCAGGCCUAACACAUGCAAGUCGAACGAGUGGCGGACGGGUGAGUAACGUCUGGGAAACUGCCCGAUGGAGGGGGAUAACUACUGGAAACGGUAGCUAAUACCGCAUACCAUCGGAUUUGACCAGAUGGGACUAGCUAGUAGGUGGGGUAACGGGUCACCUAGGCGACGAUCCCUAGCUGGUCUGAGAGGAUGACCAGCCACACUGGAACUGAGACAGGGUCCAGACUCCUACGGAAGGAAGCAGUGGGGAAUAUUGCGCAAUGGGCGAAAGCCUGAGGCAGCCAUGCCACGUGAAUGAAGAAGGCCUGCGGGUUGUAAAAUACUUUCAGCGAGGAGGCGUUACUCGAAGAAAAAGCACCGGCUAACUACGUGCCAGCAGACGCGGUAAUAC